GAUAUACUCGCUCUGUCCAACAAAAGAUGUCUUAAGUUUGUCAAAUUUGGAUGUAUCUAGACAUGAUUUAGUGUAUAGAUGCAUUCAAGUCUAGUCAAAGUUAAGACAUUCUUUGUUAAACCCAGGGAAAGUAGUAC
rnacentral:pre_miRNA from 1 species